AAGCCAUGUGUGCUGGCAGCUUGCUGCCACUGAGCUGCCUCUGCUUAUGGUUUUGUGGGGCAUAGGGAGAACACUGCUGUGCUUGACGAGGAUGCUAGCAGAAAAUAUGUGCUUCUGAGAAGAACCUGUAGAUUUGGCUAAAUAACAGCAAAAAGCGGGUGUGUGCAGUGAUUAGGAUUGCAGCAAGAAAAACUGACUGAAUCAGUUGACAGCUGAUAGUUUUUUCCAGAAGCGAAUAUUGCAAGAAAAUACUGCUGACUGGAACUGAAUUGCAUUGCAAUUUCAGGCUGAUUUCUUCCAACAUCCCUGUGAAGAAAGCUCUCAACGGAAGUGCUGUGGUUAACAGCAGACAAGCAAGAAUCAUGUGGGAAAAGGAAAAACGUGUUUAAAAUCCAGCGGAAUCCACCUCCUUUGAUUUCAUCUGAAGUUCUCAGGAACAGAAAAGAAGCAGUCGUGGGUUGCUGCCACGGCACGGAUUGUUUAUCUGCUAUUCAUAUGGAGGCUGUCGCACUCGAUUUAAGGUCAUAGGUCUUCUAAGUUAGGGUCAAUAUCAGCCAGCCAUUUUAAUGAAGACUAAUAUAUUGCCUGGUCUUUAAUGAGAAGUGUGAAAUACCGGAGAACGUGCACCUGGGCUAUGAUGAUCGCUGGCAUCUGGCCUUCUGCCUCCUUUUGCAUGAGAGGUGCCAGCGGUUUGUGACAAAGAGAAGAAACCAGAACAGGGAGGUUCGUUACAUCGUUGAUCAUCUGGCUCUGAGUAUGCAGGGGUAUAGGGACUGCUUAACGCCAGGCACAGCUUGCUCUGUGACACCGCACCCACAACUACAACAAAGCCUAAGGAAGCUGAGGCCGCAGGAAAAUUCUGGAGUAAAUGGGAGUUGCGUGCAACAGACUGGAAAGCAUCUGAAUAGCAGAGUGGAGCGGCAAAACCAGGAAGAUGUGUUUUGCUUCAGGCUUAGUGCUUGCAUUCUUGCACGUUCUUCCAAAGUCAGGUACAGGUUCCUCAAAUAUGAGUUUGCAAGAACGGCGUGAGUUCAUCUACACAGAAGGAAUUUGAUAUCCCUCCUUCUCCUGGAGAAAGAAAAAAAAAAGUGCCAAUUAAUUCUGAGUUGGGAUUUGCCUUUACAUUUGAUCUACUUGAGAAUUCACAAGGAAAGCUUCCUGUGAGGAAAGCUUAGAAAUGCUCCCAGGGAAAAAGCACUGUUGUAACUCUCCUGCUUCCUAAAGGGAUCAAGGCAGAACUCCUCUUAAUGCACGUUCUAUAAAAGAAACGGAGGGCCUACCUAAUACAGCCUCCUCAGGCUUCAAUUUUUCAGCCCAGCCUACAUAACAAGAGGAUCCCUCCCUGCGUUGAUCUGCUCUUCUCGUUUCUAAUUUCUUUUAUGUCUUAUAUGACUUGCUUGCACUUAGAAAGAAGAGUCCCUUCCCGUGUUGCUACAGCACGAGGCUUUGGCAUUUAAGCUGCUCGCGUGAUACAAAACCGGGGAGCUUGGAUGAGAGGCAUUUGAAGAGCAACUUGAAAUUCCCCUUGGAUGACUUGUGUGGCACAAGCUUCAUAGAUGGCCAGCAGCAGGGAUGCUGCUCCGAAAUCUUUGUGAAAUCUGACCGCGCUGUUGAAACACAGCAGGAAUUAGAGAUUUAAAAGGCUUUCCCUUCAGGUUGUGUCUUCGGUGCUCCCUAAAACUCUACCUCAACUUUACUUGAAGUCUCCACUUCCAUCCCAUCUCCCCUCUGUCUUCGUUUAACUCAGCAGCUUGGGCUGGACGCUGCUGGAAUAAUGACUGCACCCAAGACUUUCAUCACACACUGCUGACUUUUGAAUCUGGAUCUGAUUGCAGUUAAGAAGAAGAAGAGGCAGUCAUGUUUUUCUUCCGUUUGACGACUGGGGGGGCAUACUGUAUUUGUUUCUGAGGUUUUGUUUUUCAUUUAUAUAAUUAUUUGCCAGUAACACACCAUCAUGUCCUUUGUUUUGUUUCAGCUUGAUUCCCUUGUCCUUAUGUGAUAUUGUUAUAGGCACAAAGUGUCCCAGUUUUUUAAUGCUUCAUCAUUUAUUAAUGCCGCAGAUUGUGGGAUGAAGGCUUGUCAGCAUUGUGAUUUUUUUUGUUGUUGUUGUAUUGGCACAUACAAUAUCUGCACAGAAG